GACGAACGCUGGCGGCGUGCUUAACACAUGCAAGUCGAACGGAAAGGCCUCUUUCGGGGGGUACUCGAGUGGCGAACGGGUGAGUAACACGUGAGUAACCUGCCCUUGACUUUGGGAUAACUUCAGGAAACUGGGGCUAAUACCGGAUAGGAGCUCCUGCUGCAUGGUGGGGGUUGGAAAGUUUCGGCGGUUGGGGAUGGACUCGCGGCUUAUCAGCUUGUUGGUGGGGUAGUGGCUUACCAAGGCUUUGACGGGUAGCCGGACUGAGGGGGUGACCGGCCACACUGGGACUGAGGGACGGCCCAGACUCCUACGGGAGGCAGCAGGGGGGAAGAUUGCACAAUGGGUGGAAGCCUGAUGCAGCAACGCCGUGGGCGGGAUGACGGCCUUCGGGUUGUAAACCGCUUUCGCUCAUGACGAAGCUUUGUGUGACGGUAGUGGGUAAAGAAGCACCGGCUAACUACGUG
rnacentral:rRNA from 1 species